UUUAUGGAGAGUUUGAUCCUGGCUCAGGAUGAACGCUGGCGGCGUGCCUAAUACAUGCAAGUCGAGCGAACGGACGAGAAGCUUGCUUCUCUGAUGUUAGCGGCGGACGGGUGAGUAACACGUGGAUAACCUACCUAUAAGACUGGGAUAACUUCGGGAAACCGGAGCUAAUACCGGAUAAUAUUUUGAACCGCAUGGUUCAAAAGUGAAAGACGGUCUUGCUGUCACUUAUAGAUGGAUCCGCGCUGCAUUAGCUAGUUGGUAAGGUAACGGCUUACCAAGGCAACGAUGCAUAGCCGACCUGAGAGGGUGAUCGGCCACACUGGAACUGAGACACGGUCCAGACUCCUACGGGAGGCAGCAGUAGGGAAUCUUCCGCAAUGGGCGAAAGCCUGACGGAGCAACGCCGCGUGAGUGAUGAAGGUCUUCGGAUCGUAAAACUCUGUUAUUAGGGAAGAACAUAUGUGUAAGUAACUGUGCACAUCUUGACGGUACCUAAUCAGAAAGCCACGGCUAACUACGUGCCAGCAGCCGCGGUAAUACGUAGGUGGCAAGCGUUAUCCGGAAUUAUUGGGCGUAAAGCGCGCGUAGGCGGUUUUUUAAGU
rnacentral:rRNA from 1 species